UGGCUGCUGGAGUCGGAACAGAGAUGAGAGAACUGGCAUUGCAGUGGGUUGGGGAAGAAACCAGGAAGCCAGAUGCAAAGGCCUCUGUGGCUGCUGAACCCGGUGGGAGGGAGCGCGAGGCCUCCGACGCCUGCAGGCCCGAGGCCAAGAAACUCCAAGGAGCAUCAUUCCUGGAAGAUUUGUUCAUCCACGUGUCACGGUCUAGCUGCCCAGCCCAAGGGCAGGAAGGAAAUGGGCAGGUCCAGAGGCCAAACAUCUGUCCGGCGUGCGUCUCGUAAAGGCCUUGGGGGUUGGGCAGGCGACCAAAGGUGGAGAUGUGCUCUUUUGCGCAACCGACUUGCCUGCACGUCAUCCAAACACCGAGUUCCGUUCGCAGAGGAAGUGAGAGGUGUCGGACUGGGCCACGCGGAGCACAGCUGGGCCGCCUCUGAACAGACGCAGCCGGCUCCGAGGAGGUUUUCUUCAAGUGAAACACCUGUAUUGAGCCAGACACAUUUAGACACGCGACAGAUGCUGUAGAGUCUCAAGUGGAGGAUAAAGAUAUCCGGCUGGCCUGGAAUGCUGAGAACAGAGCGUGACAGGAGAAAAGUUCGAGCUACCAGACAUGAAAAAGAGGAACACGAAGACUAGUAUAAUGACAAAAUGUUCUCAAGCAGAAAAGUCUGAAAACAACCAGAUUAAGAAUGGAAUACAUCCGUUCCUAGCAUAUUUCUUGCCAUAUGAAUGUCUACCAGAAUCAACAACAGGGAACACAGUGUUCUUACUCAUUUACAUGCCAUCACUCAGAAUGCUCUAUGGGUUUAUCAUUUUGAGGAAGAAGUCUGCUAGCAUCAGAGUUGGGAAAUGAAAGUCAAUUAAUUUUAGAUGUAGCAACAUCAUCUAUUCAUGGCAUUCUUCAUUAAAGUUUUGGUUUCAAAUCAUCCAAUGUCAAUUAAUUUGCCUGUGUGGUAACUGGAGUAUUCUCUAAACUUUCAAGCUUUGGGGGAGUAAAUUCAGUGUGGCCUGUUUUAAGUAGUCUCCUUGAAAAGCCAUAGUGCAUAUUAACUUUUUGUUGAGCUCAGUUCUAAAUGGGUCACUCUUCUGGGCCAACUUUUCCAUAAUUAGAGAUAGAGACAGAGACAGAGGGGCAGAGACAGGAAAAGAGAAUGCACUAUGCCGGUUGGGUGUGCACGCACAAGAAUUACGUGCUCAUUUUUCCUGAUCUCCUUUCCUCUCAAUUCUGAUCUGGCCAAUAAGUGGCAUAAAAUUAAAAUUGAAAGUGGUGAAUCUUUCCUGACUCACUUCAGUUUUCCACAUGGUCUCACUGUCAGUUUGCUGGGCAAU